ACAUUUGAUGAUCGAGAAAUACCAAAGUGGGUAUUUUGAGCACCAGUAGACUUUAGUAUACUGAUUAUGGUGUUGACUGAUUCGAUUUUAAGAUAUGAGCAGCGUGAUUUCUGAAACCUGAGUUACAACAAACUCUCUGAGAUUGACCCUGCUGGUUUUGAGGACUUGCCGAACCUACAGGAAGUGUACCUCAAUAAUAAUGAGUUGACAGCGGUACCAUCCCUGGGCGCUGCUUCAUCACAUGUCGUCUCUCUCUUUCUGCAGCACAAUAAGAUUCGCAGCGUGGAGGGGAACCAGCUGAAGGCCUACCUUUCCUUAGAAGUGUUAGAUCUGAGUUUGAACAACAUCACGGAAGUGCGGAACACCUGCUUUCCACACGGACCGCCUAUAAAGGAGCUCAACCUGGCAGGCAAUCGGAUUGGCACCCUGGAGUUGGGAGCAUUUGAUGGUCUGUCACGGUCGCUGCUAACUCUUCGCCUGAGCAAAAACAGGAUCACCCAGCUU
rnacentral:sRNA from 1 species